rnacentral:rRNA from 1 species
UACGUAGGGGGCAAGCGUUGUCCGGAAUCAUUGGGCGUAAAGCGCGUGUGAGGCGGCUCGAUUAGUCCGACUCUGAAAGCCCGGGGACUCAACCCCGGGAGGCGGGCGGAUACUGUCGGGCUAGAGUCCGGAAGGGGCGAGUGGAAUUCCUGGUGAUAGCGGUGAAAUGCGCAGAUAUCAGGAGGAACACCAAUGGCGAAGGCAGCUCACUGGGACGGUACUGACGCUGAGACGGCGAAAGCCGUGGGGAGCAAACAAGG